rnacentral:rRNA from 1 species
CGUGUAGGCGGCCUCUUAAGUCUGAUGUGAAAGCCCGGGGCUUACCCCCGGAAGUGCAUUGGAGACUGGGAGGCUCGAGUACCGGAGAGGAGGGUGGAAUUCCUGGUGUAGCGGUGAAAUGCGUAGAUAUCAGGAGGAACACCGGUGGCGAAGGCGGCCCUCUGGACGGAUACUGACGCUGAGACGCGAAAGCGUGGGGAGCAAACAGGAUUAGAUACCCUGGUAGUCCACGCUGUAAACGAUGGGCACUAGGUGUUCGGGGUAUUGACCCCCUGAGUGCCGCAGCUAACGCAUUAAGUGCCCCGCCUGGGGACUACGGCCGCAAGGUUAAA